GACGAACGCUGGCGGCGCGCCUAACACAUGCAAGUCGAACGAGCGAGAGAGAGCUUGCUUUCUCAAGCGAGUGGCGAACGGGUGAGUAACGCGUGAGGAACCUGCCUCAAAGAGGGGGACAACAGUUGGAAACGACUGCUAAUACCGCAUAAGCCCACAGCUCGGCAUCGAGCAGAGGGAAAAGGAGCAAUCCGCUUUGAGAUGGCCUCGCGUCCGAUUAGCUAGUUGGUGAGGUAACGGCCCACCAAGGCGACGAUCGGUAGCCGGACUGAGAGGUUGAACGGCCACAUUGGGACUGAGACACGGCCCAGACUCCUACGGGAGGCAGCAGUGGGGAAUAUUGCACAAUGGGGGAAACCCUGAUGCAGCGACGCCGCGUGGAGGAAGAAGGUCUUCGGAUUGUAAACUCCUGUUGUUGAGGAAGAUAAUGACGGUACUCAACAAGGAAGUGACGGCUAACUACGUGCCAGCAGCCGCGGUAAAACGUAGGUCACAAGCGUUGUCCGGAAUUACUGGGUGUAAAGGGAGCGCAGGCGGGAAGACAAGUUGGAAGUGAAAUCUAUGGGCUCAACCCAUAAACUGCUUUCAAAACUGUUUUUCUUGAGUAGUGCAGAGGUAGGCGGAAUUCCCGGUGUAGCGGUGGAAUGCGUAGAUAUCGGGAGGAACACCAGUGGCGAAGGCGGCCUACUGGGCACCAACUGACGCUGAGGCUCGAAAGUGUGGGUAGCAAACAGGAUUAGAUACCCUGGUAGUCCACACCGUAAACGAUGAUUACUAGGUGUUGGAGGAUUGACCCCUUCAGUGCCGCAGUUAACACAAUAAGUAAUCCACCUGGGGAGUACGACCGCAAGGUUGAAACUCAAAGGAAUUGACGGGGGCCCGCACAAGCAGUGGAGUAUGUGGUUUAAUUCGACGCAACGCGAAGAACCUUACCAAGUCUUGACAUCCCUUGACGAACAUAGAAAUAUGUUUUCUCUUCGGAGCAAGGAGACAGGUGGUGCAUGGUUGUCGUCAGCUCGUGUCGUGAGAUGUUGGGUUAAGUCCCGCAACGAGCGCAACCCUUACUGUCAGUUACUACGCAAGAGGACUCUGGCAGGACUGCCGUUGACAAAACGGAGGAAGGUGGGGAUGACGUCAAAUCAUCAUGCCCUUUAUGACUUGGGCUACACACGUACUACAAUGGCGUUAAACAAAGAGAAGCAAGACCGCGAGGUGGAGCAAAACUCAGAAACAACGUCCCAGUUCGGACUGCAGGCUGCAACUCGCCUGCACGAAGUCGGAAUUGCUAGUAAUCGUGGAUCAGCAUGCCACGGUGAAUACGUUCCCGGGCCU
rnacentral:rRNA from 1 species